rnacentral:rRNA from 1 species
UGAACGCUAGCGGCAGGCUUAAUACAUGCAAGUCGAGGGCAGCGCAGUGUAGCAAUACAUGGGCGGCGACCGGCAAACGGGUGCGGAACACGUACACAACCUUCCUACAAGUGGGGAAUAGCCCAGAGAAAUUUGGAUUAAUACCCCGUAACAUAGCGAUGUGGCAUCACAUUGCUAUUAUAGCUUCGGCGCUUGUUGAUGGGUGUGCGGCUGAUUAGAUAGUUGGCGGGUAACGGCCCACCAAGUCUACGAUCAGUAGCUGAUGUGAGAGCAUGAUCAGCCACACGGGCACUGAGACACGGGCCCGACUCCUACGGGAGGCAGCAGUAAGGAAUAUUGGACAAUGGACGCAAGUCUGAUCCAGCCAUGCCGCGUGAAGGAUUAAGGUCCUCUGGAUUGUAAACUUCUUUUAUAAGGGACGAAAAAAGGUCUUUCUAGAUCGUCUGACGGUACCUUAUGAAUAAGCACCGGCUAACUCCGUG